rnacentral:rRNA from 1 species
GAUGAACGCUAGCGGCAGGCUUAAUACAUGCAAGUCGAGGGGCAGCAUGGUGUAGCAAUACACUGAUGGCGACCGGCAAACGGGUGCGGAACACGUACAGAACCUUCCCAAAACUGGGGAAUAGCCCUCCGAAAGGAGGAUUAAUACCCCGUAACAUAACGAAGUGGCAUCACUUUGUUAUUAUAGUUCCGACGGUUUUGGAUGGGCGUGCGCCUGAUUAGGUAGUUGGCGGGGUAACGGCCCACCAAGCCUGCGAUCAGUAACUGGUGUGAGAGCACGACCAGUCACACGGGCACUGAGACACGGGCCCGACUCCUACGGGAGGCAGCAGUAAGGAAUAUUGGUCAAUGGACGCAAGUCUGAACCAGCCAUGCCGCGUGAAGGAUGAAGGUCCUCUGGAUUGUAAACUUCUUUCAUAUGGGACGAAAAAAGGGCAUUCUUGCUCACUUGACGGUACCAUAGGAAUAAGCACCGGCUAACUCCGUGCCAGCAGCCGCGGUAAG